AAGGAUCAUUGUUGAAAUAAACCUGAUGGGUUGCUGCUGGUUCUCUAGGGAACAUGUGCACACUUGUCGUCUUUAUAUCUCCACCUGUGCACCUUUUGUAGACCUGGAUAUCUUUCUGAAUGCACUAGCAUUCGGGUUUGAGGAUUGACUUUCUGUCUUUCCUUACAUUUCCAGGCCUAUGUUUCUUCAUAUACCCCAUGUAUGUUAUAGAAUGUAGUAAUGGGCCUUUGUGCCUAUAAAUCUAUACAACUUUCAGCAACGGAUCUCUUGGCUCUCGCAUCGAUGAAGAACGCAGCGAAAUGCGAUAAGUAAUUGUGAAUUGCAGAAUUCAGUGAAUCAUCGAAUCUUUGAACGCACCUUGCGCUCCUUGGUAUUCCGAGGAGCAUGCCUGUUUGAGUGUCAUUAAUAUAUCAACCUCUUCAGCUUUUGCUUGUUGAGUGUUGGAUGUGGGGGUAUUCUUUUGCUGGUCUCUUUCUGAGGUCGGCUCCCCUGAAAUGCAUUAGCGGAACAAUUUGUUGACCGUUCAUUGGUGUGAUAAUUAUCUACGCUAUUGACGUGAAGCAGGUUCAGCUUCUAACAGUCCAUUGACUUGGACAAAUUUUCAUUAAUGUGACCUCAAAUCAGGUAGGACUACCCGCUGAACUUAA
rnacentral:rRNA from 1 species